GGUUAAGUCAGGCAACGAGCGAGACCUACAUUUACAAUUGCUAACUGGUCCUUUCGGAUGACAGAGCACAUUGUAAGGACUGCCUUGGAAACAAGGAGGAAGGUGUAGGCUACGGUAGGUCUGUAUGCUCCGAAUCCUCUGGGCUACACGCGCGCAACAAUGGUUUAGACAAUGGGUCACAACUCCGAAAGGAGAAGUUAAUCCUCUAAACUAAACCCUAGUUUGGAUUGAGGGUUGCAACUCACCCUCAUGACAAUGGAAUCCCUAGUAAUCGGUCCUCAUUAUAGACCAGUGAAUAUGUCCCUGCUCCUUGCACA
rnacentral:rRNA from 1 species